rnacentral:rRNA from 1 species
CACGUAGGGGGCAAGCGUUGUCCGGAUUUAUUGGGCGUAAAGAGCUCGUAGGCGGUUUGUCGCGUCGGCCGUGAAAUCUCCACGCUUAACGUGGAGCGUGCGGUCGAUACGGGCAGACUUGAGUUCGGUAGGGGAGACUGGAAUUCCUGGUGUAGCGGUGAAAUGCGCAGAUAUCAGGAGGAACACCGGUGGCGAAGGCGGGUCUCUGGGCCGAUACUGACGCUGAGGAGCGAAAGCGUGGGGAGCGAACAGG